UAGGGAAUCUUCCGCAAUGGGCGAAAGCCUGACGGAGCAACGCCGCGUGAGUGAUGAAGGUCUUCGGAUCGUAAAACUCUGUUAUUAGGGAAGAACAAAUGUGUAAGUAACUAUGCACGUCUUGACGGUACCUAAUCAGAAAGCCACGGCUAACUACGUGCCAGCAGCCGCGGUAAUACGUAGGUGGCAAGCGUUAUCCGGAAUUAUUGGGCGUAAAGCGCGCGUAGGCGGUUUUUUAAGUCUGAUGUGAAAGCCCACGGCUCAACCGUGGAGGGUCAUUGGAAACUGGAAAACUUGAGUGCAGAAGAGGGAAGUGGAAUUCCAUGUGUAGCGGUGAAAUGCGCCGAGAUAUGGAGGAACACCAGUGGCGAAGGCGACUUUCUGGUCUGUAACUGACGCUGAUGUGCGCAAGCGUGGGGAUCAAACAGG
rnacentral:rRNA from 1 species